rnacentral:lncRNA from 1 species
AGACUUGGUUUCAUGUGCUUCAAGAAGAUCUUCCCUUCUUCCCAGAUUUUUUUUUCUUUAUUUUCCCAGAUUUGCAAAAUCUGAGGCAGGUUUUAUUGCAGAAGACCUAUGCUUUUUUGGGAAGCUCAUUUUAAACCUUCAUUCAAUUGGCUCAGCUGAAGUGAGAUCUUGAAUGAUUUUAGACAUUUGGGAAUGGAAGACAAGGUGAUGUGGAGACUAGAGCAUAGCUGCCUCAUUACUCUUGGUCUAGCCCAAGGUGAGAAACCAAAGAAGGAGGCUCAGGGAGAUCUGGAAAUACCAGCCCAUUGUGCUGAUGGAUACUCUCAACAGUUGGAGAUCUGUUGGAGAACACCCUGGAAAUAUAGUGUCUUUCCUGUCAGAAGUCUUUGCAUGAGCAGCUCUGGUUAGAGUCGUAAGAUGAUUUGCAAAACACUUCUUUAUAUUGUUCUUUAUAUUGUUACUAAUAAUUAACCAACAAAUUGCUCUGACUGUGCUUUGGCUUUAUAGAAAACAUAGCAGAAAAAUGUAAGUAUGGCUGUACUGGAUCAGACCAAAGAUUCAUUUAGUCUGGUAUCCUGUCUCUGGCAGUAACUAAAAGCAGAUACCUUGGUAAGAGCAUAAGCACACCAUGUUUCUAGUAAUACUUCUUCCAAAUGCUAUCAGCUGGUAGUAUUUUGAGUUCAUAGUCCUAUGUAUAAUUCAUGUUCCUUUGACUUCAUUCUAUAUGAAUCCUUGUUCAAUGCUUAAAAACUCACAAUAAAAAAGGUUUUGUUGUGGUCA